CAGCCGCCGCGGUAAUGCGUAGGUGGCAAGCGUUGUCCGGAAUUAUUGGGCGUAAAGGGCUCGCAGGCGGUUUCUUAAGUCUGAUGUGAAAGCCCCCGGCUCAACCGGGGAGGGUCAUUGGAAACUGGGAAACUUGAGUGCAGAAGAGGAGAGUGGAAUUCCACGUGUAGCGGUGAAAUGCGUAGAGAUGUGGAGGAACACCAGUGGCGAAGGCGACUCUCUGGUCUGUAACUGACGCUGAGGAGCGAAAGCUAGGGGAGCAAAUGGGAUUAGAUACCCCUGUAGUCCCUGUCUCUUAUAC
rnacentral:rRNA from 1 species